AAGUUUGCUGACCUCCAUGCCAGAGAAGAACCAGUGCAUAUUUCUAGGUGAAGAACUGAUAACGGGCUGCUUCAAAUUUGUCACAUGUUUAGAACAAUUUCCUGAAUAGAAAUGUGGCCACAGGCCAGAACAAACCACAGCUUGGUGGUUGAAGAUCUGGAUCACACGCAGGAUAUAGAGUCGGACCCAUCCAGCUCUUAGAUUUUUGCCUGUGUUAAAGGAUCUUGGUGAGGCAGCGCAUUGUCCUGUGGGAGUGGUGUGAGGUUUUGGAUGAGCAGAGCUGGGGGAUGAUGGUAAUAUUUCAUAGCAGCACGCAUCCACUCAGCGUGAUAAUCACAGCAUAGCCACCCGGAGCGGUGUCCGAGUGGAAACCCAGUGCCUUUGUGCUCUCUGUCCGCACCUUGAGCACACCUUCCCUUCAGUGUAACACAUUCAUUCACUCCUGCCUUUUACCUGGAAGAAACACAGCACUCAAAUCAGUUUGGUCCUCACACAGUCUGGAUGCUGCAGUUAGCCAACGUGAGAUGAAACAGAUGGUUCCAGAUGUGGAAGCUGCAGUCUUCUUAGAGUUUUGGAUGAGUCCCCAAGUCUGAGAGAAAUGGGGGCCAGGGAUCCUUAUCUUCUAAAGCGAGGUGCUAGACUCUUUUGAGAGGACUUUGGCCAGCCCCCAAAUUGGAUUUUCCAGAAUUAGCCCAUCCCAGCCUCCAAACCAUGGGGGAGAAAGGAGUUGAAGAGAGUAGAGAGUGAAAGAGUGAGAGUGUCUUUAGAGAGAGUUUUUAGGUCGUUGAAGAGUUUCUCCCUCCUUUUCUAACCCUGAGGAAGAAGGCAGGUGGUAGUGAGAUAAAGACAUCUGCUUGGAUGUCUUUGAUAGGCUAUCUUGGAUAUCCAACCUCUCUUGGACAGGUUAAAUUAUAUCCCCUGAAACUUGAGGAAUAGAGUAACUCUUACCCAUUACAUGCCUAAAACUCCAAGGCGCAGAUGCUGGAUAGAAGAAGAGUGUGACGCAAGCUUGCCUUUGUGUCUCCUGAGUCUCACAGGCAAGGUUGCUCUCGCCUCCCCCACGGGAGGAAGCUGGCUGUCAGUCAUCUUCCAAGGUAUGCCACACCUGAGGAUCAUCCAGCAAGAAGAGGUCACCCCAUCAGAAGGGUGGACCCCAGGAGCCAGGACUUGGGGACAAAUGAAUUGAGAAAGUUUAUUUAAUGAAGCAAUCGUGAGAAGAAAAGUUUCCAAUUACACUCCAUUCCCACUUUCAAUCCCAGCACAAGUGUGAGAUUCUUUUCCUGGAGUACACACCUGGAAAUAGAAUCUUUGGUUGUAAGAAACUGUCACCAGAUGACUGCAAUGAAUGAUAUGCUUUCUCUACUUUAGAAAAGAAAGAGCUGG
rnacentral:lncRNA from 1 species